AACGAACGCUGGCGGCAUGCCUAACACAUGCAAGUCGAACGAGACCUUCGGGUCUAGUUGCGCAGGGGUGCGUAACGCGUGGGAACCUGCCCUUAGGCUCGGAAUAACUCCCCGAAAGGGGUGCUAAUACCGGAUCAUGUCUUCCGACCAAAGAUUUAUCGCCUUUGGAUGGGCCCGCGUUGGAUUAGCUAGUUGGUAGGGUAAAAGCCUACCAAGGCGUCGAUCCAUAGCUGGUCUGAGAGGAUGAUCAGCCACACUGGGACUGAGACACGGCCCAGACUCCUACGGGAGGCAGCAGUGGGGAAUAUUGGACGAUGGGCGAAAGCCUGAUCCAGCAAUGCCGCGUGAGUGAUGAAUGCCUUAGGAUUGUAAAGCUCUUUUGCCCGGGAUGAUAAUGACAGUACCGGGAGAAUAAGCUCCGGCUAACUCCGUG
rnacentral:rRNA from 1 species